AAUUGCUUCAUAAUGGUGAACUCUCUUAGAUAUAAAAAAAGUGAGAGAUGUUCAAGUUUCCGGAGCAAAUAUUAAACUGGCCAGAAUUUAACAGCUCUGUGUUUAAUU
rnacentral:sRNA from 1 species